AGAAUGAACGCUGGCGGCGUGCUUAACACAUGCAAGUCGAACGGAAUCCAAGGAGCUUGCUCUGGAAGAUUUAGUGGCGAACGGGUGAGUAUCACGUGAGCAACCUGCCCCGAAGACUGGGAUAACACCGGGAAACCGGUGCUAAUACCGGAUACCUUCCAAUGACCGCAUGGUCGAUGGAAGAAAUGUUUUUCGCUUCGGGAGGGGCUCGCGGUCCAUCAGCUUGUUGGCGGGUAACGGCCCACCAAGGCUUCGACGGAUAGCUGGUCUGAGAGGACGAUCAGCCACACUGGAACUGAGACACGGUCCAGACUCCUACGGGAGGCAGCAGUGGGGAAUCUUGCGCAAUGGACGAAAGUCUGACGCAGCAACGCCGCGUGAGGGACGAAGGUUUUCUGAAUUGUAAACCUCUUUCGACAGGGACAUAAUGACGGUACCUGUAGAAGAGCACCGGCCAACUAUGUGCCAGCAGCCGCGGU
rnacentral:rRNA from 1 species